rnacentral:pre_miRNA from 1 species
AAUAAAUUGAUUCGUGGGUUGCCAUGUCUAACUUUAGAACGUCCAUCUUAUAUGAACUUAUUUAUGAUUAAUAUUUUUAUUUUUAUUAUAUGAUAAAACAUGAAUAAUAUUUUAUAUGUGACUUAUUUUUUAAAUUUUUUUUAUAAUUUUUUCAAAUAAAAUGAACUAUGUACAUGAAAACCUACGAAUCAACUUAUU